rnacentral:rRNA from 1 species
GAUGAACGCUGGCGGCGUGCCUAAUACAUGCAAGUCGAGCGAACAGACGAGGAGCUUGCUCCUCUGACGUUAGCGGCGGACGGGUGAGUAACACGUGGAUAACCUACCUAUAAGACUGGGAUAACUUCGGGAAACCGGAGCUAAUACCGGAUAAUAUAUUGAACCGCAUGGUUCAAUAGUGAAAGACGGUUUUGCUGUCACUUAUAGAUGGAUCCGCGCCGCAUUAGCUAGUUGGUAAGGUAACGGCUUACCAAGGCAACGAUGCGUAGCCGACCUGAGAGGGUGAUCGGCCACACUGGAACUGAGACACGGUCCAGACUCCUACGGGAGGCAGCAGUAGGGAAUCUUCCGCAAUGGGCGAAAGCUUGACGGAGCACCGCCGCGUGAGUGAUGAAGGUCUUCGGAUCGUAGAACUCUGUUAUUAGGGAAGAACAAAUGUGUAAGUAACUAUGCACGUCUUGACGGUACCUAAUCAGAAAGGCACGGCUAACUACGUG